AACGAACGCUGGCGGCAUGCCUAACACAUGCAAGUCGAACGAGACCUUCGGUUCUAGUGGCGCACGGGUGCGUAACGCGUGGGAACCUGCCCUUAGGUUCGGAAUCACUCCCCGCAGGGUGUGCUAAUACCGGAUAAUGUCUUCGGACCAAAGAUGUAUCGCCUUUGGAUGGGCCCGCGUUGGAUUAGCUAGUUGGUAGGGUAAAAGCCUACCAAGGCGACGAUCCAUAGCUGGUCUGAGAGGAUGAUCAGCCACACUGGGACUGAGACACGGCCCAGACUCCUACGGGAGGCAGCAGUAGGGAAUAUUGGACAAUGGGCGAAAGCCUGAUCCAGCAAUGCCGCGUGAGUGAUGAAGGCCUUAGGGUUGUAAAGCUCUUUGACCCGGGAUGAUAAUGACAGUACCGGGAGAAUAAGCACCGGCUAACUCCGUG
rnacentral:rRNA from 1 species